rnacentral:rRNA from 1 species
AGCAGCCGCGGUAAUUCCAGCUCCAAUAGCGUAUAUUAAAGUUGUUGCAGUUAAAAAGCUCGUAGUUGAAUUUCGGGAUCAGUAGGUUGGUCAUGCCUCUGGUAUGUACUGGCCUCACUGGUUCCUCCUUCCUGAUGAACCGUAAUGCCAUUAAUUUGGUGUUGCGGGGAAACUGGACUGUUACUUUGAAAAAUUAGAGUGUUUAAAGCAGGCUAACGCUUGAAUACAUUAGCAUGGAAUAAUGAAAUAGGACGAUCGAUCCUAUUUUGUUGGUUUCUAGGAUUGACGUAAUGAUUAAUAGGGAUAGUUGGGGGCAUUAGUAUUCAAUUGUCAGAGGUGAAAUUCUUGGAUUUAUUGAAGACUAACUACUGCGAAAGCAUUUG